rnacentral:rRNA from 1 species
UACGAAGGGUGCUAGCGUUGUUCGGAAUUACUGGGCGUAAAGCGCGCGUAGGCGGCCAUUCAAGUCAGAGGUGAAAGCCCGGAGCUUAACUCCGGAACUGCCUUUGAAACUGUAUGGCUUGAGUGUCGGAGGGGAUAGCGGAAUUGCUAAUGUAGAGGUGAAAUUCGUAGAUAUUAGCAGGAACACCGGUGGCGAAGGCGGCUAUCUGGACGACAACUGACGCUGAGGCGCGAAAGCGUGGGGAUCAAACAGGG